UCGACGGGAAGCCACGCUGAUGCGAUUUCGGUCAAUCAUGUGGCAUUCGAGUGGCGGACGGGUGAGUAACGCGUGGGUAACCUGCCUUACACAGGGGGAUAACACCUGGAAACAGGUGCUAAUACCGCAUAAGCGCACAGGGCCGCAUGGCCCGGUGUGAAAAACUCCGGUGGUGUAAGAUGGACCCGCGUCUGAUUAGCUUGUUGGCGGGGUAGGGGCCCACCAAGGCGACGAUCAGUAGCCGGCCUGAGAGGGUGGACGGCCACAUUGGGACUGAGACACGGCCCAAACUCCUACGGGAGGCAGCAGUGGGGGAUAUUGGACAAUGGGGGAAACCCUGAUCCAGCGACGCCGCGUGAGUGAAGAAGUAUUUCGGUAUGUAAAGCUCUGUCAGCAGGGAAGAAAGAAAUGACGGUACCUGACCAAGAAGCCCCGGCUAACUACGUGCCAGCAGCCGCGGUAAUACGUAGGGGGCAAGCGUUAUCCGGAAUUACUGGGUGUAAAGGGAGCGUAGACGGUGAUGCAAAUCUGGAGUGAAAGGCGGGGGCCCAACCCCCGGACUGCUCUGGAAACUGUGUAACUUGAGUGCAGGAGAGGUAAGCGGAAUUCCUAGUGUAGCGGUGAAAUGCGUAGAUAUUAGGAGGAACACCAGUGGCGAAGGCGGCUUACUGGACUGUAACUGACGUUGAGGCUCGAAAGCGUGGGGAGCAAACAGGAUUAGAUACCCUGGUAGUCCACGCCGUANACGAUGAUUACU
rnacentral:rRNA from 1 species